CAGUAGCCGCGGUAAUACGGAGGGUGCAAGCGUUAAUCGGAAUUACUGGGCGUAAAGCGUGCGUAGGCGGUUCGUUAAGUCUGUUGUGAAAGCCCCGGGCUCAACUUGGGAAUGGCAAUGGAUACUGGCGAGCUAGAGUGUGUCAGAGGAUGGUGGAAUUCCCGGUGUAGCGGUGAAAUACGUAGAGAUCGGGAGGAACAUCAGUGGCGAAGGCGGCCAUCUGGGACAGCACUGACGCUGAGGCACGAAAGCGUGGGGAGCAAACAGGAUUAGAUACCCCCGUAGUCCCUGUCUCUUAUAC
rnacentral:rRNA from 1 species